AUACGGAGGGUGCAAGCGUUACUCGGAAUCACUGGGCGUAAAGCGCGCGCAGGCGGCCAUUUAAGUUGGAUGUGAAAGCCUACGGCUCAACCGUAGAACUGCAUCCAAAACUAUUUAGCUAGAGUGUGGGAGAGGAAGAUGGAAUUAGUUGUGUAGGGGUAAAAUCCGUAGAGAUAACUAGGAAUACCAAAAGCGAAGGCAAUCUUCUGGAACACUACUGACGCCGAGGCGCGAAAGCGUGGGGAGCAAACGGGAUUAGAAACCCUAGUAGUCC
rnacentral:rRNA from 1 species